UACGAGGGGGGCGAGCGUUGUUCGGAAUUAUUGGGCGUAAAGGGUGCGUAGGCGGUUUGGUAAGUCUGAUGUGAAAUCUAUGGGCUCAACUCAUAGUCUGCAUCGGAAACUGCCGGGCUUGAGUGUGGGAGAGGUGAGUGGAAUUCCUGGUGUAGCGGUGAAAUGCGUAGAUAUCAGGAGGAACACCUGUGGCGAAAGCGGCUCACUGGACCAUAAUUGACGCUGAUGCACGAAAGCUAGGGGAGCAAACAGG
rnacentral:rRNA from 1 species